GUCAUGAUCCAGACUAUAAGUUUCUCCCUAUUCAACAUUCCAUCGAUUGUACGGGGCUCACCUCCCCCUACAACCACCAUACUCCGUCGCAAAACCACCUCAUCACGGAGGUUAUCUCCGGUCAUCGCGGUGGCUUCACCCACAUCUCGCCACCAGGUUACUCACUCAAUGCCACCAGAAAAAUUGGAAAUCUUUAAGUCAUUAGAACCUUGGGUUUCUGAAAACGUCCUCUCACUCCGAAAGCCUGUAGAGAAAUGUUGGCAGCCCAUUGAGUUUCUCCCUGACCCAUCUCAAGGGCCCGAACAAUUCGAAGAAGAGGUUCGGGCCCUAAGGCAACGAGUUUUAGGGCUUUCGGAUGAGUAUUUUAUUAUGCUUGCG
rnacentral:misc_RNA from 1 species